CUUCAAACAAAACUACCAAUCACGUUAGGUUCCCACCGUUUCUCUUUUAGCUGCUGCUGCUGCUGCGUAAUCCGUAGACACAAAAAUGACGGUUUUGUUUGGUUGGAUCAUUGACAUAUUCAUCACGCUUUCUCUGAUCGUGCCACUUGCUUGCAGCUUCAAAGCACAGGUUCCCAGCAUUCGAGAAAGGAUCGAGGACACGCUCUCUGCUCACCGGAAUGAACUCGUUUCUCUACUCUCCAGGUACAUGGAUCAGGGCAAAGGAAUUCUGCAACCACAUCACCUAUUAGACGAGUUAGCCAAUGACGUGGGAGAAGAUAAAGGAAGAAAGAAGCUCACUGAUAGCCCUUUUAGCGAAAUUCUCAAAUCCGCUCAGGAAGCUAUAGUCCUUCCUCCUUUUGUGGCAAUAGCUGUCCGUCCGAGGCCCGGUAUUUGGGAAUUUGUUCGUGUUAAUGUCCAUGAGCUGAGUGUGGAGCAGUUGGGCGUCGCCGAAUAUCUUCGCUUCAAGGAGGAACUCGUCAAUGGCGACUUCAAUAAUCAUUUCGUGCUUGAGCUUGAUUUCGAACCCUUCAACGCGACAUUUCCUCGCCCCAGCCAGUCCUCGUUCAUUGGAAAUGGGGUUCAAUUCCUCAAUCGUCACCUUUCAUCGGUUAUGUUCCGGAACAGAGACUGCUUGGAGCCUUUGCUUGAUUUUCUUCGAGCACACAAAUACAAGGGCCAUGUCAUGAUGCUGAAUGAUCGGAUACAAAGUUUAUCAAGACUUCAAACUAAUUUGGCCAAGGCAGAGGAAUAUCUCUCUAAGCUACUACCAGAUGCACCAUAUUCUGAUUUUGAAUAUGUAUUCCAGGAAUGGGGCUUUGAGAAAGGUUGGGGUAAUAAUGCAAAACGUGUUUCUGAGAUGGUACAUCUUCUCUUGGACAUAAUUCAGGCUCCUGAUCCCUCUAACUUGGAGACUUUCCUUGGGAGGAUUCCAAUGGUGUUCAAUGUUGUCGUUGUAUCCCCACACGGUUACUUUGGCCAAGCAAAUGUCUUGGGUUUGCCAGACACUGGAGGGCAGAUUGUUUAUAUAUUAGACCAAGUACGUUCCUUGGAGAAUGAGAUGCUUUUGAGAAUUCAGGAGCAAGGAUUGAAUAUUACUCCUAGAAUUCUUAUUGUGACCCGGCUAAUACCUGAUGCAAAAGGGACAACAUGCAACCAACGUUUGGAAAGAAUCAGUGGAACACAACAUACACAUAUUUUGCGGGUGCCUUUUAGGACUGAAAAAGGAAUUCUUCAGAAGUGGAUCUCAAGGUUUGAUGUUUGGCCAUACCUGGAGGCAUUCACAGAGGACGCAUCAAGUGAAAUUGCUGCUGAGCUACAGGGUAUUCCAGAUCUGAUCAUUGGCAACUAUAGUGAUGGGAAUCUUGUUGCAACUUUGUUAUCUUAUAAGCUAGGAAUAACACAGUGUACAAUUGCUCAUGCAUUGGAAAAAACAAAGUAUCCGGAUUCUGAUAUCUAUUGGAAGAAAUUUGAGGAAAAGUACCAUUUUUCUUGCCAAUUUACUGCUGAUCUAAUUGCCAUGAACAAUGCAGAUUUUAUCAUCACAAGUACAUAUCAAGAGAUUGCAGGAAGCAAGAAUACUGUUGGACAGUAUGAGAGUCACAUGGCUUUCACUCUUCCGGGGCUGUACCGCGUUGUUCAUGGUAUUGAUGUUUUUGAUCCAAAAUUCAAUAUUGUCUCUCCUGGAGCAGACAUGAGCAUUUAUUUUCCAUACUUAGAGAAGGAAAAGAGACUUACUGCCCUACAUGAUUCAAUUGAAAAACUCAUAUAUGAUCCAGAACAGAAUGAUGAACACAUUGGUACUUUGACCGAUCACUCAAAGCCCAUCCUCUUUUCCAUGGCAAGGCUUGAUAAGGUGAAAAACAUAACAGGGCUUGUUGACUGCUAUGGUAGGAGCUCCAAACUGAGGGAAUUGGUAAACCUUGUUGUUGUCGCUGGUUACAAUGAUACGAAGAAAUCCAAAGACAGGGAAGAAAUUGCAGAGAUAGAGAAAAUGCACGGCCUGAUGAAGCAGUACAAUCUAGAUGGGCAGCUCCGUUGGAUUUCAGCCCAAAUGAACCAGGCACGCAAUGGUGAACUCUAUCGUUACAUUGCUGACACAAAAGGUGCUUUCGUGCAGCCUGCUUUUUAUGAAGCUUUUGGGCUUACAGUUGUAGAGGCCAUGACUUGUGGUCUACCAACAUUUGCCACAUGUCAUGGAGGACCUGCUGAAAUUAUUAAACAUAGUGUAUCGGGUUUCCAUAUUGAUCCUUAUCAUCCUGAUGAAGCUGCUACAGUUAUGGUUGAUUUCUUUGAGCAGUGCAAAAAUGAUCCUGGCUACUGGAAUAAGAUUUCUAAUGCGGGGCUUCAACGAAUCCAUGAAAGGUAUACAUGGAAGAUAUAUUCUGAAAGGCUAAUGACCCUGGCUGGGGUUUACGGGUUUUGGAAGUAUGUAUCAAAGCUUGAAAGGCGGGAAACCCGGAGAUACUUGGAGAUGUUCUACCUUUUAAAGUUUCGAGAUUUGGUGAAAUCUGUUCCAUUGGCAAUUGACGAUGAACACUAAAUGUGGGUCUGUAGAAUUGAAAGAAAGAAGCUUUCCACUUGGGAACAAACGCUCUGCUAGAUUACAAUGGAGUUUGAAACUCGACAGACUGUUCUUGGACUGUUGUGCCACCAGAUUUCUCUUUCAGAUUGGAUCUCCCUCUAGAAGCAUCAAAUCAGGCUGAAACUUUAGAUUUAGUGUCGCCCAAGGUAGAUCUACUAUUUCCAAUUGGUUUGGUUUGAAUCGGAUUUGAUCUAGAAGGGUUUUGAGCCACUUCAGAGUUUGACAGACCCUUACAGUUUCCUUUUCUAGACAUUGACUGAAAGGUACUUCAUUAUUCUACUGUUUUGAACACUUCUCUCUGUGUUUUCUUGCUCUUGUGAUUCAAUGGCAUCAGGAAGAAUGGAAGUUCUCCCCAUCAAGUUUAAUAGUACGAACUAUGCACUUUGGAAAUUCAAUUUCCAAUUUCAUGUGGAGGCGAAAGGCCUCUGGGGAUAUUUGGAUUGAUCAGUAGUUAAACCUGAUGAUUCGGACUUCAAGGGUACUAAUCAAUGGAGAAUUGAUAAUGCAAAAAUUGCAUAUUGGAUCUUAGGAUCCGUUGAAACUAACAUUGCAAUUCCUAUGAGAGGGUACUGGACUGCUUGUGAGAUGUAUGAGUAUCUCGAAAGAGUAUAUCAACAAUCAAAUACCUCAAGACAGUACUAGAUAGAGGUUGACAUCUCCCAUUAUCAAGGAGAAAGAAAGGUCCAAGAGUACUAUGUUGGGUUUAUUAACCUUUGGACUGAAUAUGAGCUUGUGCACGCGGGGAAUGAUCCUUCAGAAUGUUGUGUGAAGUAUAUGAAGGAACAUUUCGAUAGAAGAAAGAUUAUGCACUUCCUAAUGCAUUUCAAACCUGAAUUCGAAGUUGUUAGAUCUAAUAUCCUGAGUUGAGGAACACUUCCCGACUUGGAUACUAUUCUCGGUGAAAUUCUGAGGGUUGAAACCAGAUUUGCCACACAAACUACUCUGGAUGGAAGGAAUGAGUCUAACAUUAAUACGGUCUUUCUAGCAACAAAACCGAAAGGGAAGGACUUCUCUAAAAUACAAUGCUAUGAAUGUAAGGAGUUCGGACAUGUUGUUUCUCAAUGCAAGAAAAAGAAUACAUGCACCUACUGUAAGCAGGAUGGUCAUAUUAUCAUUGAAUGCCCCACUCAGCUUCAGAAAAGCAGUGAAUCAAAUUAGAAGAAAGGAAGCUACAAGGCUUUUUAGACAGGUGUAGAUGGAUCAGAUGCAGCAUCUUCCAUUACUUCUGUGACUGGGCAGAAUGACACCUCAGGUAGCAUGUCUGAGGAAUGAAUUCGACAGCUCAUGUCCUCUGUUAUCUCUUCAGCCUUCUUUGCUAUGGGCUUAUCUGGAUCGGCAAACUAGGGAGGUGAAAGGGAAGGGGCAUAGACUAGGAAGACUCUUUGCUCUAGAAUUUGAGAAGAAUAAAACUAUGCCUGCUUCUACUUCAUGUUUGAUUUCUACUGCUUCUAGUUUUGAAUUUGUUAAUUGUAAUAAAGAUUGGCAGUUGUGGCAUAAAUGACUGGGCCAUCCUUUUUCUAAGAAACUUGAUUAGUUGUUUUUUUCUAGUAGUUUACCUGUUUCUAAUGUUUCUCUUAAAAAUGUGAAUAAAGACUGCAUUACUUGUGUCUUA